rnacentral:rRNA from 1 species
AUCGAUGAAGAACGCAGCGAAAUGCGAUAAGUAAUGUGAAUUGCAGAAUUCAGUGAAUCAUCGAAUCUUUGAACGCACAUUGCGCCCCUUGGUAUUCCGAGGGGCAUGCCUGUUCGAGCGUUAUUUAAACCCUUCAAGCUUUGCUUGGUGUUGGGGCAUGCUUAUCGGCAGCCCUUAAAACCAGUAGCGGUGCCACUUGGCUCUAAGCGUAGUAAAUUCUCUCGCUAUAUAGUCCAGGUGUACACUUGCUAUUAACUCUUAACUUUUUAUGGUUAACCUCGGAUCAGGUAGGGAUACCCGCUGAACUUAAGCAUAUCAAUAAGCGGAGGAAAAGAAACCAACAGGGAUUGCCUCAGUAACGGCGAGUGAAGCGGCAACAGCUCAAAUUUGAAAUCUGGCUCUUUUAGGGUCCGAGUUGUAAUUUGUAGAAGAUGCUUCGGGUGUGGCUCCGGUCUAAGUUCCUUGGAACAGGACGUCAUAGAGGGUGAGAAUCCCGUAUGUGACUGGUUGCCUUCGCUCAUGUGAAGCUCUUUCGACGAGUCGAGUUGUUUGGGAAUGCAGCUCAAAAUGGGUGGUAAAUUUCAUCUAAAGCUAAAUAUUGGCCAGAGACCGAUAGCGCACAAGUAGAGUGAUCGAAAGAUGAAAAGCACUUUGGAAAGAGAGUUAAACAGUACGUGAAAUUGUUGAAAGGGAAGCGCUUGCAACCAGACUUGCACGCAGUUGAUCAUCCGGUGUUCUCACCGGUGCACUCUGCUGCGUUCAGGCCAGCAUCGGUUUUGGUGGUUGGAUAAAGGCCUAAGGAAUGUAGCUUCUCUCGGGGAGUGUUAUAGCCUUAGGUGCAAUGCAGCCUACUGGGACCGAGGACCGCGCUUCGGCUAGGAUGCUGGCGUAAUGGUUGUAAGCGACCCGUCUUGAAACACGG